GAAUAUUUUGUGUUGAUCAUCUGUAUAUGCUUCAUCAUUUUUAUCUGCAGACAAAACAUUCAUCAAGUCACCAUUACCAAUCUAUUGUGUACAGUUCCGUACAUGCGUAGUUUGCUCAAGGUUCCCUUUAAGCGUAGAACAAAACAAACCUCAUAAGCACCUCGUAAGCUCCAUGAUCUGAAAAUGGGUUGUCUGUUUUGCAAGUCCCUCCUGGCCUCUUUAUACCAUCCAUCCUCCGUGACGCUUAUCGCUAGUAGGGCCGGCCGGCUAUUCGGUAGGCCUCUCUGAGAAAACCUUUUGGAAAAGACAAGCUAUAUGGACCCAACCAACUCUUUUUGGGAGGGCAGAACUCCCUCACAUGGUAGGCUACAACCCAUGCAGAGAGUGCGGUGUCAUGCAUAGAUUGCAGAACAAAAGCCCUGGACAGUUGGAGGACCCUACAAUGAUUGAAGCACAUUGGCCCCAAGAUCUUAUGGUGUCAGUGCCAUGUGUGGACCAGUCUGAGGCACCUGUUGUAUAUGAGCAUGAAACCUUUCCCUCUCACUAAUGGUGAUGUGUCUGCCAAUGUCAAUACACCAUUCAAAAUCUCACCUCACAGUAGCCACCACCUGUGUAUGAGUGCUUGGCCUUUACACUAUUCCAAUCCUGUGACCGAGGACUGUACCCUUAAUGUGGAAUGAAGGAAUAAGACAAGAGUAUGAAUAGGAUAUAUUUAUAUGUGAUGUUGUCAUGAUGACAUUCUGUAAGCUUAUUUGUAUUUUGUCAUUUUUGAGAUACAUUUGCCAGGUUUGAACAACAUUUUGGUCAUAAUUUAAAUUAUUUUUAGAUGUUUUAGAUUUUCUAAAACAGUGAUUCUCAACUACUCUAUUCUAUUUGGAUUCUAUCCAACUGUUCUAUUCUAUUUCUACUUAAUUUUGUCCCGGUGCUAAAGGAGCGAUGAUCCAUUUGGCAUCUAUGCUGGCCUUACUGUGUAUUACUGAUGCUCAAGCACCCCAACAAAGAACACACAAUACAAUUAAACAAUUCUGA